GACGAACGCUGGCGGCGUGCUUAACACAUGCAAGUCGAACGGAAAGGCCCUGCUUUUGUGGGGUGCUCGAGUGGCGAACGGGUGAGUAACACGUGAGUAACCUGCCCUUGACUUUGGGAUAACUUCAGGAAACUGGGGCUAAUACCGGAUAGGAGCUCCUGCUGCAUGGUGGGGGUUGGAAAGUUUCGGCGGUUGGGGAUGGACUCGCGGCUUAUCAGCUUGUUGGUGGGGUAGUGGCUUACCAAGGCUUUGACGGGUAGCCGGCCUGGGAGGGUGACCGGCCACAUGGGGACUGCGGUACGGCCCAGACUCCUACGGGAGGCAGCAGGGGGGAAUAUUGCACAACGGGCGGAAGCCUGAUGCAGCAACGCCGCGUGCGUGAUGACGGCCUUCGGGUUGUAAACCGCUUUCGCCUGUGACGAAGCGUGAGUGACGGUAAUGGGUAAAGAAGCACCGGCUAACUACGUG
rnacentral:rRNA from 1 species